AUCCAGCUGACGAGUGCCAAAUAGGACGAAACGCGCGUCCUGAAU
rnacentral:hammerhead_ribozyme from 1 species